rnacentral:rRNA from 1 species
AAAACGACUCUCGGCAAUGGAUAUCUCGGCUCUCGCAUCGAUGAAGAACGUAGCGAAAUGCGAUACUUGGUGUGAAUUGCAGAAUCCCGUGAACCAUCGAGUCUUUGAACGCAAGUUGCGCCCUAAGCCUUCUGGCCGAGGGCACGUCUGCCUGGGUGUCACAAA